ACGCUCGACACCUACGGGAAGCAGCAGUGGGGAAUAUUGCACAAUGGGGGAAACCCUGAUGCAGCGACGCCGCGUGAGCGAAGAAGUAUUUCGGUAUGUAAAGCUCUAUCAGCAGGGAAGAAACUGACGGUACCUGACUAAUAAGCACCGGCUAAAUACGUGCCAACAGCCGCGGUAAUCUGAGCGGGCUGGCAAGGC
rnacentral:rRNA from 1 species